AAGAAUAUGAGGUGGCACAAGGAAGAUCGAGUAGACGAUGGUAAAUUGAGACAUCCUGCUGAUGCUUUAGCUUGGAAGCAUGUUGAUAAAAUAUAUCCUCGUUUUGCCGAAGAUUGCAGAAAUAUAAGACUGGGUCUAUCAAGUGACGGAUUCAAUCCAUUUGGGGUAAUGAGCUCUGACUGGUAUACGUGGCCAGUUAUAUUAAUGCCAUAUAAUUUAUCUUCAUUGCUUUAUAUGAAACAACCAUUUAUGAUACUUUCAUUACUAAUACCCGGUAAGCAUGCACCGGGAAAUAAUAUUGAUGUAUACUUAGAGCCUCUAAUUGAUGAGCUGAAAUAAUUAUGGUUUGACGGUAUUUUAGCAUAUGAUGCCCAUUUAAAAGAGUCGUUUAGAUUACGUGCUAUUCUAUUAUGGACGAUUAAUGAUUUUUCAGCUUAUGCUAAUCUGUCCGGGUACUCUACGAAGGGCAAGUGUGCUUGUCCUGUAUGUGGUCCAGAAUUUGAAGCUCUUCAAUUACCACAUAGCAGAAAGAGUUGUUAUUGGUUUAAUCGAAGGUGGUUGCCCUUGAGUCAUAAGUACAGAAAAUUAUCAGCUAAGUUUGAUGGCACAGUUGAAAAAAGAAUGAAGCCGCGUCAACUGAUAGGUAAUGAGAUCGUAAAAUUACUUCAGGGGUUUCCAAAAGUUGUGUUGGGAAAAAAAUCGCUAUUCUAAAUUUAACCCGCUCGGAGUAAGAGAUUACUUAAAGUCAAAAAAUCCAUUGAAGCGUAAGCGAAAGGUCUGUAAAAUGCAAGUUGAGGAUGAAGCCUAAAAAUUACCUAGAGGAUGGACUAAAUUUAAUAUCUUCUUUCAGCUACCUUACUGGCAAAAUCUUAAAAUCCGACAUAACUUAGAUGUUAUGCAUAUUGAGAAAAAUAUAUGUGAUAACAUAGUAUCAACUCUCCUACAAGAUGCAAACAAGUCGAAGGAUGACCUACAGGGCACCAAGAUCUGAUUGCUUUGAAUAUCCGAAAUGAUUUGCAAGCUCAAGACGUUGGCCUUAAAAAAUCAAAGUUACCUCCGGACCAUCCCCCUCUGAUGCAGCACCAGAACCAUCCCCCGACGUAGGUGCUUCUUGGACCCCGACAUAUCCAUCAUAUACAUUCUAUACUGACUUGUGGCCGAAGACACAGGACUAUCUCAGUUUACCCUUAUCUUUGGACUCUCAUAAGUCCAAGGCUGACUCAAGGAAGUACCACCCACGUGCUGCGAGAAAGUUAGAGGAAAUGCUUCCUAUGUUGGAGACUAGGAAAGCUGAUGCACUCACAGCAAAAGAAAGAGAGAUAACGAAUGGUGCUAAGCGAGAUCACGUAGAGAACAGACGUGGCGGAGGUAAGCCUGAAUCUAAACAACCGCCAAGAGGAAUGAGGGUGAUAAUUUGGUGGAAUAGUUCUAAUUUGCCCGUUGGUCCUUGGUCGACCCGAUUGAAUGCAUAUAUUGGGGUUCUCGUGCGUAGAGCGACCAUUAUCAACCCUUAUUUUCAUUUUUGAGAAUUACCAUGGACCGCAUACGAGGCGAUAUGGACUGAGCUUAUGGACUGCUUCUGCCUUGAGGACUUUGAGGGGGCUUGGAAU